GAAACGACUGCUAAGACUGGAUAGGAGACAAGAAGGCAUCUUCUUGUUUUUAAAAGACCUAGCAUAGGUAUGCUUAGGGAGGAGCUUGCGUCACAUUAGUUAGUUGGUGGGGUAAAGGCCUACCAAGACUAUGAUGUGUAGCCGGGCUGAGAGGUUGAACGGCCACAUUGGGACUGAGACACGGCCCAAACUCCUACGGGAGGCAGCAGUAGGGAAUUUUCGGCAAUGGAGGAAACUCUGACCGAGCAACGCCGCGUGAACGAUGAAGUAUUUCGGUACGUAAAGUUCUUUUAUUAGGGAAGAAUAAAUGAUGGAAAAAUCAUUCUGACGGUACCUAAUGAAUAAGCCCCGGCUAACUAUGUGCCAGCAGCCGCGGUAAUACAUAGGGGGCAAGCGUUAUCCGGAAUUAUUGGGCGUAAAGGGUGCGUAGGCGGUUAAAUAAGUUUAUGGUCUAAGUGCAAUGCUCAACAUUGUGAUGCUAUAAAAACUGUUUAGCUAGAGUAAGAUAGAGGCAAGUGGAAUUCCAUGUGUAGUGGUAAAAUGCGUAAAUAUAUGGAGGAACACCAGUAGCGAAGGCGGCUUGCUGGGUCUUUACUGACGCUGAGGCACGAAAGCGUGGGGAGCAAACAGGAUUAGAUACCCUGGUAGUCCACGCCGUAAACGAUGAGUACUAAACGUUGGGUAAAACCAGUGUUGAAGUUAACACAUUAAGUACUCCGCCUGAGUAGUACGUACGCAAGUAUGAAACUUAAAGGAAUUGACGGGACUCCGCACAAGCGGUGGAUCAUGUUGUUUAAUUCGAAGGUACCCGAAAAACCUCACCAGGUCUUGACAUGCUUCUGCAAAGCUGUAGAAACACAGUGGAGGUUAUCAGUUGCACAGGUGGUGCAUGGUUGUCGUCAGCUCGUGUCGUGAGAUGUUGGGUUAAGUCCCGCAACGAGCGCAACCCUUAUUGUUAGUUACCAGCACGUAAUGGUGGGGACUUUAGCAAGACUGCCAGUGAUAAAUUGGAGGAAGGUGGGGACGACGUCAAAUCAUCAUGCCCCUUAUGACCUGGGCUACAAACGUGAUACAAUGGCUGUUACAAAGGGUAGCUGAAGCGCAAGUUUUUGGCGAAUCUCAAAAAAACAGUCUCAGUUCGGAUUGAAGUCUGCAACUCGACUUCAUGAAGUUGGAAUCGCUAGUAAUCGCGAAUCAGCAUGUCGCGGUGAAUACGUUCUCGGGGUUUGUACACACCGCCCGUCA
rnacentral:rRNA from 2 species